rnacentral:rRNA from 1 species
AUUGAACGCUAGCGGGAUGCUUUACACAUGCAAGUCGAACGGAGUGGCGGACGGGUGAGUAAUAUAUUGGAACGUGCCUAGUAGCGGGGGAUAACUACUCGAAACAGUGGCUAAUACCGCAUACUAUUGGAGCGGCCGAGAUCGGAUUAGCUAGUCGGUGGGGUAAAGGCUCACCAAGGCAACGAUCCGUAGCUGGUCUGAGAGGACGACCAGCCACACUGGGACUGAGACACGGCCCAUACUCCUACGGGAGGCAGCAGUGGGGAAUUUUGGACAAUGGAGGAAACCCUGAUCCAGCCAUCCCGCGUGUGUGAAGAAGGCCUGCGGGUUGUAAAGUUCUUUUGGCAGAGAAGCGGUAUCUGCAGAAGAAGCACCGGCUAACUACGUGCCAGCAGCCGCGGUAAUAC